GGUUGGGAUAACAGGAGCACCUUAGGUCCGUUUGGUUUGUUGGUUUAAAGGUUAUGGAGAUUAGGACUGUGGACAAUGCUUUCCCAUGCACCUCGGUUCGGUGUGUGGCGCCUUGAGGGGUUUAGUGCGUCCGGUACGAGUCCGGUUCGUCCGCCGUACGCUUUUCAAUCAGCCUCUAGGAAGAAGGAGGGUAGUUGGGGGAGAAGUAUGGGGCGUCAGAGGUGAAAUCUUAGCCGCACAAGAGAAUACAGGAAGCUUUUCAAGGAUCCUUCCUCAUCAAGAACAAAGUGUGGAGAUCGAAGAGAUUAGAGACCAUGUAUCCACAUGCAAACGAGCACCAGAAUUGGGGAUCUUAGGGCCGGCCUCGGCAGGGUUUACCCUGUUCACCCGCGCCCGCUUUUCCCCUUAGUACUUUCUAUUCGGCCUUACCGGCCACCCACGGGAAUCCUCAGCACGUUGCUA
rnacentral:rRNA from 1 species